GGCCGAUUAGCUCAGUCGGUUAGAACAUAGUGCUGAUAACACCAAAGUCAUGGGUUCAAUGCCCGUUCGGUCC
rnacentral:tRNA from 1 species